ACCAAACAGUCGUAAAAUAACAAUAAAAAGCUACAUAAAAAAACUGUAAGCACCCAACCAAAAUAGAAAUGAAGAGAACACAAUUACUUCAGCACGUGAAAAUCUCGGCAUUCAUUUUAACGGUCCUUACGCAGGGUUUUCCAGCAGUUUCUCUCCAAAGAAAAUUGACAUUCCUCAACAAAAUGAACACAGUCAUAAUAAGCUACAGCACGUUUGAUAGGAUUAAGGCGUUAGAAGGUUUUGUGAGGCAAUGCAAAGGCGACCGUUCUAUCAAAAGAUAUUAUAAAAAAUAUGAAAGUUCCUUUUGGUAGAUAAAAUAACAAAUAGAGUCGUCUCUUCUUUAUCCUGUGAUCAAUUAAGUGAAUUCGAAUCUAUGUCGUUUAUUUUUAUUUGUAAAUAAGUCAAUAUAAAAAACAACAUUCAAACGAGGCAAGUUAUUUACUACCAAAACAAAAAUAUCGAGUGAUUCUUCUUAGAAACGCCAGAAAUCUUGAAAAAUGUUUGAUGAAAUAAUAAAACAAUUAAAAACAAAUAGCGCCUUACAAUAAAAUGUUUAUUUAUAUUAAUAA